rnacentral:tRNA from 1 species
GGGGGCGUGUUGUAAUUGGCAGCCUGGUCGUUUACCAAACCACUGGAGCGGGUUCGAACCCCGUCGCCUCCACCA